UUCCAUCGUGUUUCUCAGCAUUUAGAGUGUUGGAUCUGCCACGUCAAUUAAUGAGGCGUGAUCCAACUCUCCUGGUUUUUUCUGAUUUUAAUUCCUUUUCUUUUAUUAUUUUAAAUUGUUUUUUCUUUAAAAAUUCGUAGUAAUUUUAUUUUUUAUCCAAAAAAACCCAAAAUAAUUUCUAAAAUUCUCUUUUAUUUUUCUUCAGCUGAUUUUUAUUUUU
rnacentral:lncRNA from 1 species